GUGCGAGACCGAUAGCGAACAAGUACCGUGAGGAAAAGAUGAAAAGAACUUUGAAAAGAGAGUUAAAGAGUACCUGAAACUGCAGAAAGGGAAGCGAAUCGUAUCCAGUGUCUAUAAUCUGCGGCAUAUUUCAUUGGCGGCGGUGCGCGUGCUUUUGCGUCGGAAGCGGCUUUUGUUGCUCUGUGCUUUUGCUGUGCGUGGUGUUGCUGGUGCCCUGUGUUGCGGUGGGACGUCAGAGUCAGUUUGUAUGCUGCGGGAAAUGGCUGCCGAGGAGGUAGGUCGAGAUUUCGGUCUUGGCUGUUAUAUCUUGGUGGUUUGUUGUCGUGGUUGAGACUGAGGUGCCUACAAUGUGCUUUUGAGUGUACCGGGUUCUCAUUUGGUGGACUGUUUGGAUAGCUUGCUAUGCUUGUGGUUUUUUCAUCGGGUGAUUGAGUCUGGUGGUAACUUGUUGCUGUUCGGGACUUUG
rnacentral:rRNA from 2 species